rnacentral:tRNA from 1 species
GCCAGCGUCGCAUAAUUCGGUAUUGCGCGGGUCUUGAAAACCCGUUCCUCACGGAAUUGCCGGUUCAAAUCCGGCCGCUGGCG